CACUGCCUCACACAGCUACUACCAGGUCAGUGUCUGCACUGCCUCACACAACUACUACCAGGUCAGUGUCUGCACUGCCUCACACAACUACUACCAGGUCAGUGUCUGCACUGCCUCACACAGCUACUACCAGGUCAGUGUCUGCACUGCCUCACACAACUACUACCAGGUCUGUGUCUGCACUGCCUCACACAGCUACUACCAGGUCAGUGUCUGCACUGCCUCACACAACUACUACCAGGUCAGUGUCUGCACUGCCUCACACAGCUACUACCAGGUCAGUGUCUGCACUGCCUCACACAACUACUACCAGGUCAGUGUCUGCACUGCCUCACACAGCUACUACCAGGUCAGUGUCUGCACUGCCUCACACAACUACUACCAGGUCAGUGUCUGCACUGCCUCACACAACUACUACCAGGUCUGUGUCUGCACUGCCUCACACAGCUACUACCAGGUCAGUGUCUGCACUGCCUCACACAGCUACUACCAGGUCAGUGUCUGCACUGCCUCACACAACUACUACCAGGUCAGUGUCUGCACUGCCUCACACAACUACUACCA